rnacentral:rRNA from 1 species
AUACGGAGGGUGCAAGCGUUACUCGGAAUCACUGGGCGUAAAGCGCGCGCAGGCGGCUUGAUAAGUUGGAUGUGAAAGCCUACGGCUCAACCGUAGAACUGCAUCCAAAACUGUCAAGCUAGAGUCUGGGAGGGGAAGAUGGAAUUAGUUGUGUAGGGGUAAAAUCCGUAGAGAUAACUAGGAAUACCAAAAGCGAAGGCGAUCUUCUGGAACAGUGCUGACGCUGAGGCGCGAAAGCGUGGGGAGCAAACAGGAUUAGAAACCCCGGUAGUCC